UGGGGAAUAUUGGACAAUGGGGGCAACCCUGAUCCAGCCAUGCCGCGUGAGUGAUGAAGGCCUUCGGGUUGUAAAGCUCUUUUGGCGGGGACGAUGAUGACGGUACCCGCAGAAUAAGCCCCGGCUAACUUCGUGCCAGCAGCCGCGGUAAGACGAAGGGGGCUAGCGUUGUUCGGAAUUACUGGGCGUAAAGCGAGUGUAGGCGGUUGCCGUAGUCAGGUGUGAAAGCCUUGAGCUCAACUCAAGAAAUGCACUUGAUACUGGGUGACUAGAGGACCGGAGAGGAUAGUGGAAUUCCCAGUGUAGUGGUGAAAUACGUAGAGAUUGGGAAGAACACCAGUGGCGAAGGCGGCUAUCUGGACGGUUACUGACGCUAAGACUCGAAAGCGUGGGGAGCAAACAGGAUUAGAUACCCUGGUAGUCCACGCCGUAAACGAUGGGUGCUAGACGUUGGCGAGCUUGCUCGUCAGUGUCGCAGCUAACGCGUUAAGCACCCCCGCCUGGGGAGUACGGCCGCAAGGGUUGAAANUCAAAUUGAAUUGACGGGGGUCAUAGCUGUUUUCCU
rnacentral:rRNA from 1 species